UGGGGGAUAUUGCACAAUGGGCGAAAGCCUGAUGCAGCGACGCCGCGUGGGGGAUGAAGGCUUUCGGGUUGUAAACCUCUUUCGCUAUCGAACAAGGCCCGCUUAGGGUGGGUUGAGGGUAGGUGGAGAAGAAGCGCCGGCUAACUACGUGCCAGCAGCCGCGGUAAUACGUAGGGCGCGAGCGUUGUCCGGAAUUAUUUGGCGUAAAGGGCUUGUAGGCGGCUUGUUGCGCCUGCUGUGAAAACGCGGGGCUUAACUUCGCGCGUGCAGUGGGUACGGGCAGGCUUGAGUGUGGUAGGGGUGACUGGAAUUCCAGGUGUAGCGGUGGAAUGCGCAGAUAUCUGGAGGGACACCGAUGGCGAAGGCAGGUCACUGGGCCAUUACUGACGCUGAGGAGCGAAAGCAUGGGUAGCGAACAGG
rnacentral:rRNA from 1 species